UACGUAGGGUGCGAGCGUUGUCCGGAUUUAUUGGGCGUAAAGAGCUCGUAGGCGGUUUGUCGCGUCUGCUGUGAAAACUGGAGGCUCAACCUCCAGCCUGCAGUGGGUACGGGCAGACUAGAGUGCGGUAGGGGAGACUGGAAUUCCUGGUGUAGCGGUGGAAUGCGCAGAUAUCAGGAGGAACACCGGUGGCGAAGGCGGGUC
rnacentral:rRNA from 1 species